UAGACAGGGUUUGGCAGGAACCGCA
rnacentral:misc_RNA from 1 species